AACGUAGGAGGCGAGCGUUAUCCGGAUUUACUGGGCGUAAAGCGCACGCAGGUGGCACGGCAAGUCGGUUGUGAAAGCUCCUGGCUUAACUGGGAGAGGCCAAGCGAAACUGCCGAGCUUGAGGUUGGGAGAGGGGUGCGGAAUUCCCGGUGUAGCGGUGGAAUGCGUAGAUAUCGGGAGGAACACCAGUGGCGAAGGCGGCACCCUGGCCCACACCUGACGCUGAGGUGCGAAAGCGUGGGGAGUAAACAGG
rnacentral:rRNA from 1 species